GAUGAACGCUGGCGGCGUGCCUAAUACAUGCAAGUCGAGCGAACAGACGAGGAGCUUGCUCCUCUGACGUUAGCGGCGGACGGGUGAGUAACACGUGGAUAACCUACCUAUAAGACUGGGAUAACUUCGGGAAACCGGAGCUAAUACCGGAUAAUAUAUUGAACCGCAUGGUUCAAUAGUGAAAGACGGUUUUGCUGUCACUUGUAGAUGGAUCCGCGCCGCAUUAGCUAGUUGGUAAGCUAACGGCUUACCAAGGCGACGAUGCGUAGCCGACCUGAGCGGGUGAUCGGCGACACUGGAACUGAGACACGGUCCAGACUCCUACGGGAGGCAGCAGUAGGGAAUCUGCCGCAAUGGGCGAAAGCCUGACGGAGCAACGCCGCGUGAGUGAUGAAGGUCUUCGGAUCGUAAAACUCUGUAAUUAGGGAAGAACAAAUGUGUAAGUAACUAUGCACGUCUUGACGGUACCUAAUCAGAAAGCCACGGCUAACUACGUG
rnacentral:rRNA from 1 species